rnacentral:lncRNA from 1 species
UCAGAACAUCGCCGUCACGUGAGGAAAAAAAAGAAAACACGUGUCAUUAUAUGACAUGAGAGAAAGCGGCAUGGGCUAACAUACACUGACGGAAGUGCAUCUCUUCUUAAGAUGCGCCGCACCGGCAGUUCUAAAACAAAAGAAAAAAAUAAUAAUCAACGCAGCAGAAGAGAGGGGAACACAAAAAGGAAAUAAACGAGAGAGAUGAGAGAGUCUCUGUCUGUCUGUAGGUAGAGAAAGUAAAAGAAAAGGAAAACGAGUUGUCUCUCUGAGUCGACUCACCGAGUCUAGCUGUCGAAAGAGGAAGCAGCAAAAACCGAUAAAAAAGGGAUCUUUGAGAUUUUUUUUUUUUUUUU